rnacentral:rRNA from 1 species
GACGAACGCUGGCGGCGUGCUUAACACAUGCAAGUCGAACGGAAAGGCCCUGCUUUUGUGGGGUGCUCGAGUGGCGAACGGGUGAGUAACACGUGAGUAACCUGCCCUUGACUUUGGGAUAACUUCAGGAAACUGGGGCUAAUACCGGAUAGGAGCUCCUGCUGCAUGGUGGGGGUUGGAAAGUUUCGGCGGUUGGGGAUGGACUCGCGGCUUAUCAGCUUGUUGGUGGGGUAGUGGCUUACCAAGGCUUUGACGGGUAGCCGGCCUGAGAGGGUGACCGGCCACAUUGGGACUGAGAUACGGCCCAGACUCCUACGGGAGGCAGAAGUCGGGAAUAUUGCACAAUGGGCGGAAGCCUGAUGCAGCAACGCCGCGUGCGGGAUGACGGCCUUGGGGUUGUAAAACGCUUUCGCCUGUGACGAAGCGUGAGUGACGGUAAUGGGUAAAGAAGCACAGGCUAACUACGUG